AGUGAACGCUGGCGGCGUGCCUAAUACAUGCACGUCGAACGAAGUGGCGCACGGGUGAGUAAUAUAUAGUUAAUCUGCCCUACACAGAGGAACAACAGUUGGAAACGACUGCUAAUACCUCAUAGUGUAGGAUGAGACUAUAUCGUAUCAGCUAGUUGGUAAGGUAAUGGCUUACCAAGGCUAUGACGCGUAACGGGUCUGCGAGGAUGAUCAGUCACAUGGGGAAUGAGACACGGUCCAAACUCCGACGGGAGGCAGCAGUCAGGAACAUUGAGCACUGGGGGAAACCCUGACUCAGCAACGCCGCGUGGAGGAUGACACUGUUCGGAGCGUAAAAUCCUUUUAUCAGGAAAGCGGUACCUGAUGAAUAAGCACCGGCGAACUCCGUGCCAGCAGCCGUGGUAAUAC
rnacentral:rRNA from 1 species